AGGGCGGAUCGUUGGGGAGUUUCCAGUAAAAAAAGAUUCAGCUCGCCUAACAGAAUACAGUGUCCUUCACUGAGGGACGCUCAGGGAUUAUUACGGGGAAUGGAGAUUGUAAUACUUGUUUCAUUAUUGUCUCUGUAUUGUGACGUCACCGGUAAGUUAGACUUCUGGUCUAGUACAUUGUUGUGAUACAGGUGCUUGGUAAGUUAGACUUCUGGUCUAGUACAAUGUUGUGAUACAGGUGCUUGGUAAAUUAGACUUCUGGUCUAGUACAACGUUGUGAUACAGGUGCUUGGUAAAUUAGACUUCUGGUCUAGUACAACGUUGUGAUACAGGUGCUUGGUAAGUUAGACUUCUGAUCUAGUACAAUGUUGUGAUACAGGUGCUUGGUAAGUUAGACUUCUGGUCUAGUACAAUGUUGUGAUACAGGUGCUUGGUAAAUUAGACUUCUGGUCUAGUACAACGUUGUGAUACAGGUGCUUGGUAAGUUAGACUUCUGAUCUAGUACAAUGUUGUGAUACAGGUGCUUGGUAAGUUAGACUUCUGGUCUAGUACAAUGUUGUGAUACAGGUGCUUGGUAAGUUAGACUUCUGGUCUAGUACAACGUUGUGAUACAGGUGCUUGGUAAGUUAGACUUCUGAUCUAGUACAAUGUUGUGAUACAGGUGCUUGGUAAAUUAGACUUCUGGUCUAGUACAACGUUGUGAUACAGGUGCUUGGUAAGUUAGACUUCUGGUCUAGUACAACGUUGUGAUUCAGGUGCUUGGUAAGUUAGACUUCUGGUCUAGUACAACGUUGUGAUUCAGGUGCUUGGUAAAUUAGACUUCUGGUCUAGUACAACGUUGUGAUACAGGUGCUUGGUAAGUUAGACUUCUGGUCUAGUACAACGUUGUGAUACAGGUGCUUGGUAAAUUAGACUUCUGGUCUAGUACAACGUUGUGAUACAGGUGCUUGGUAAGUUAGACUUCUGGUCUAGUACAACGUUGUGAUACAGGUGCUUGGUAAGUUAGACUUCUGGUCUAGUACAACGUUGUGAUACAGGUGCUUGGUAAGUUAGACUUCUGGUCUAGUACAAUGUUGUGAUACAGGUGCUUGGUAAGUUAGACUUCUGGUCUAGUACAACGUUGUGAUACAGGUGCUUGGUAAGUUAGACUUCUGGUCUAGUACAAUGUUGUGAUACAGGUGCUUGGUAAGUUAGACUUCUGGUCUAGUACAACGUUGUGAUACAGGUGCUUGGUAAGUUAGACUUCUGGUCUAGUACAACGUUGUGAUACAGGUGCUUGGUAAGUUAGACUUCUGGUCUAGUACAACGUUGUGAUACAGGUGCUUGGUAAGUUAGACUUCUGGUCUAGUACAACGUUGUGAUACAGGUGCUUGGUAAGUUAGACUUCUGGUCUAGUACAACGUUGUGAUACAGGUGCUUGGUAAAUUAGACUUCUGGUCUAGUACAACGUUGUGAUACAGGUGCUUGGUAAGUUAGACUUCUGGUCUAGUACAACGUUGUGAUACAGGUGCUUGGUAAGUUAGACUUCUGGUCUAGUACAACGUUGUGAUACAGGUGCUUGGUAAGUUAGACUUCUGGUCUAGUACAACGUUGUGAUACAGGUGCUUGGUAAGUUAGACUUCUGGUCUAGUACAACGUUGUGAUACAGGUGCUUGGUAAGUUAGACUUCUGGUCUAGUACAACGUUGUGAUACAGGUGCUUGGUAAAUUAGACUUCUGGUCUAGUACAACGUUGUGAUACAGGUGCUUGGUAAGUUAGACUUCUGGUCUAGUACAACGUUGUGAUACAGGUGCUUGGUAAGUUAGACUUCUGGUCUAGUACAACGUUGUGAUACAGGUGCUUGGUAAGUUACAUUCUACUGAGAUUACAUCGGGAAUUGUUCUAAGAUGGUCGUACCAUUGAUCAUUUAACUAUUUGAUUUUAGGAUUCCUGUUAGUAUCCCCCCAAAAAAAUAUUUAAAAGGGAAUAUAUAUUUAGCUUUGACACAUAUUUAACCCCAUUUUUUU